rnacentral:rRNA from 1 species
UACGUAGGGGCCUAGCGUUGUCCGGAUUUAUUGGGCGUAAAGAGCUCGUAGGCGGUUUGUUGCGUCGGCUGUGAAAUCCCGAGGCUCAACCUCGGGUCUGCAGUCGAUACGAGCAAACUAGAGUGUUGCAGGGGAGACUGGAAUUCCUGGUGUAGCGGUGAAAUGCGCAGAUAUCAGGAGGAACACCAGUGGCGAAGGCAGG